AAGGGGCGUGGCCUUGUGCCAUAAACUUUGUGGGCAACAGACCUCGGAACCUCGUGUAACUUUCCUGUGUCAUCAGCUGUUGUUCUUGUUUUAGUUCUUUACAGCCCUUAAAAAAUGUAAAACGUCUUUGUUAGCUCCAGAUCCUCGCAAAGCUACACCCAGUCGGCCACCGUACUUGUCGUUGGCCACCAGCUGCCCCAGGCUGCCUUGGGCUUUCAGGCCCUCUUCUGUGUGUCUAGGCAGGAACUUCAGAUUCCACUCUGCUGCAGGAGCUUAUCGUCCUCUAAUGCACUUCUCAUAUGCUGCUGGAGGAACCAGAACACCACACAGCCUUCCUGGAGGGCAGAAACAGUGAAGUUGCAAGGAAUUAUGGUGGGGGCCACAGAGGAACAAGGCAAGUUCAAGAUCAGCUGGAAGGUAGGAAAUCAGAGGUAGACAGAGAAAGGCGAGCUGAAGCCCAGUGGACACAGAAUAUGCUUAUUUCUGCCCAGCUGGGCUGCAAGAGAGGACGGAACCUGGAGACGACAGGGCACACACUGGAAGGCAGAAUCUAAGGAGUGCGUCCGCCCUCUGUUACUCUGUUGAGCGACCCCGGCAAAGUCACAUGGCUAUCAAAUGCCUUCACCUCCAAAAGUCUAUGACACUCUGCAAGCAAGGUGCUAUGAUGGUGGUGCCCACGUGUUAUGUCUCCGUUUUUGGAAAGGCAACUAUGUCCAAUAAUGAGGUGAGGUGAGGUCAGAACUUUAGGGGACAGAGUGUGAU